GCCAGGCGUGGUGGUGCAUGCCUGUAAUCCCAGCUACUCGGGAGGCUAAGGCAGGAGAAUUGCUUGAGCCUGGGAGGUGGAGGUUGCAGUGAGCUGAGAUAACACCACUGCACUCCAGUCUCGGUGACAGUGAGACCUUGUCUUUAAAAUAUAUAUAAAGUAAAAAGUAAAUAAUCCUAAAUUUCUCUAAGGUUUUGUUCUUUUUUUUUUUUUUUUUUUUUUUGUGAGAUGGAGUCUCGUUCUGUCGCCUAGGCUGGAGUGCAGUGGUGUGAUCUCGGCUCACUGCAACCUCUGUCUCCCAGGUUCAAGCAAUUCUCCUGCCUC
rfam:Pan troglodytes isolate Yerkes chimp pedigree #C0471 (Clint) chromosome 10, whole genome shotgun sequence.